CGGAAGUCUGUUGGAGGGAGCGGGCCUGGGGGGCUGGGCCGAAUCUGUCUCGGGCUGUGCCGGCAGCUGCUUCGCCGAGGGAGGGUGGGGGGAAUACUGAAUAUCUUUCACUUGUCCUGGUCGCUGCUAGCGCAGUGUGCCAGUGCCGGGCCGGCUGUGCGCGCUCGGGAGCUCUGCCCGGAGGUUAGGCGGCUAUGGGAGGCUUCAGUGCUGUGCAGGGUGAGGACAGGGACUUGUUUCCUUUGGGUGCCGCUUUAGCGAGGUCUGGAGGGCCCCAAGGGCGACGUUUGGCUUUCUGUUUGCCUUCUUAUCGUGUAGAUGUUCGUCCUCGGUUCCCUCAGUCCUAAAUAAAGCCGUGUACGUGUUACGCACUCGUGGGUUUCCUCGCCUGUGGUAAACGCCACUUGCUGCGUGAGGACACGGAGCUAUGGGCUGGCUGCGCUGGCCCUGUUGUCUGGGACCUGCAAGAGAGGCUGUAAACUCCCCUCAGAUAAGGAUUGGCUUCUUAAAGAUGAUCUAAUGGACCUUACGUCUGUAAUUUCUAUUAAGCUUUGAAAGGUAACAGGACUCCAUCUGGCUCCUGUCCCCUGCCCAGGCCAUGCGGCACGGGUGGGGGCUGGGCUAGGCUGGGCUGGGCCUGCUGCGCCUCCUGGCUGGGAGAUGAAGCCUGUGGGACUCUCCCCAGGCCCAGGUCGGGCUGGGCUCUGGUACAGCCUCCGGGGAAGCCUCUGGGGUGGCUGAAGCUUUUUUUUCCCAGUGGCGGUCCAGAGCUGUAAUCGCCACUGAGCUGAAACAUGACAUCAUGAAUACCUGCUGUGGUUUGAGACAGAUUUUAACCCUUUCACUACCCAGAUGAGACUUGCAGAUUAAUAAUUUUUCCAGAGAGCGGAGAAGAGAGAGCGAAGAGACAACAUAAACUAUCAAAGACA